CAACAAACCACUCCGACCGUGUCCACCACCCGCACUUGAUCAUCCUCACUUGCUCCGCUGGGAUCGGGUGCACAGGACCAGCACGACUCCACUCCACUGCACGAAUGGCCGUCCAGGCCAUACACCUCCUCCUCGCCACGGUUCUACCGUGCGCCGCCCUCGCCGCCUUCUCCCCGGACUUCCAAUUUUUCCUCGCAUGCGGCGCCAACUCCUCCGUCUCCUUCCCGCCCGACUCCACCGCGCGCACCUUCGUCUCGGACGCCGACUACCUCUCUCCCGUGGACGCCCCGGCAGUGUCCGCCAGCUCCACCCCGACCUCCCCGCCAGCUCUGUACGCUGCCGCGCGCGCAGACAUCUCGGCCUUCUCGUACCGCCUCCCCUACCCUGCCUCUCCGGACGGGUCGUCAUUCCUCGUCCUGCGCCUCCACUUCUUCCCCUUCUUCCCCGCCAACUCCUCCCAGUCUGUCGUCAACAUCUCCUCCUCUCGCUUCGCUGUCUCGAUGCUUGACACCUACGACCUGAUGUUCUCCUUCAGGCCACCGGCAGCCGGGGUCGUCAAGGAGUUCUUUGUCCCGCGGGGCGUGUCGGGCGCCAACUUCACCAUCACGUUCACCCCGGACGCCGACUCCUCCGCGUUCGUCAGUGCCAUCGAGCUGUUCCCGGCACCGCCAGAGCUGCUGUGGAACAACACGGCGACGCCUGUGGACGCUGCAGAGAGAGACGAGAUGGGCCGGUGGGAGGAGGGCAUGUGGCAGGAUGACCUGUGGCAGCAGCAGCCGAUGGAGACGGUGUAUCGCCUCAACGUCGGCGGGCCCAUGGUGACUAUUGAGAACGACAUGCUAUGGCGUACGUGGCUCCCCGACGACCCCUACCUGCUCUACGGGGGGCAGUCGGAGCUCAAUUCGACCUCCAGUCCGAUAAUCUACGACCCGUCCAACGGAUACUCAAGGGAGGUGGCGCCCGACGUCGUGUACCAGACCCAGCGCGCGGCGAACUUCGACCUCACGUGGAUGUUCCCGGUGGUGCCGGGGUCCCGCUACCUUAUCCGCCUCCACUUCUGCGACUAUGAAGUUGUCAGCUCCGUCGUCGGCGUUGGCAUCGUGUUUGACGUCUAUAUUGCGCAAGCCAUUGGAACUCCAGACCUCUCGCCGACUGCUCGGGCAACUCAGUCGAACGAGGCCUUUUACAUGGAAUGCAGAUUCUGUGAGCUUAUGCACCCGGACCUCACUAUUCUAACACUCCAAUGUUGCUUUGAGAUCUGUGCUACACAACUACUCCUUCCGUUUCAAAAUAGAUGACCCAACUUUGUACUAAAGUUAGUAUAAAGUUGAGUCAUCUAUUUUGGAACGGAGGGAGUACCUUAUUACAUGGAAUUUUCUCUUUUUUGUUCCUCUCAUAUAAAACAUGUCUUGAACUUCAAACUUUGCAGUAUAACAUAACUUUGUAACUAGAAUGUGAGAUAAAACUUUCAGAUUUUUUUGUCCGACAUAAAUAUGAAAAAUAAGAUUUUUUAAUCAAAUAAAUCUCAUUUUGUAUAUUUAUGUUGGACCAAAAAAUCUGUAAGUUUUAUCCCACAUUCUACAUAGAAAGCUUUGUUGUGCUGCAAAGUUGGAAGUACAAAUACAUGUUCUAUAUGAGAGAAACAAAAAAGAGAAAAUUAUUUGCACGAAUCGUGAUGCAGAAAUGAGUGGUUGGAUAAGGAGUACCCGGGUGCAUAGGCUUUAAAACAUGUUUUCGCUUUUACAUGGACUACGCGGCCAGGGCGCCGAGCGCCGGGAACCUCACCGUCAGAAUCGGCGGGUCGGCGAAAAGCAUCGGAAGCCGCAUACUGAACGGGCUGGAGAUCAUGAGGAUACAGCCCGUCGAUUUGAGGUCGAGGGGGUCGCUCGCGGCAAAGAGAAUCGUUAUCAUCACUAUGUCAGCAAUUGUCGGCGCCAGCGUUCUUGCUUGCGUGGUGUUAGGCUUUUUCGCCGUGCCAUACACGAAGGACGGCGCCUCCGGCUGGGCUGAGCAGUUGAGGAACCUGUGGUCUAGAGAGGGGAAGGCCGGCGGGAUGGAGAGGGUGAGCACGAAGCUGCACAUCUCGCUGGCGAAGGUCAAGGCCGCCACGGACAACUUCCACGAGCGCAACCUCAUCGGCGUGGGCGGGUUCGGGAACGUGUACAAGGGCGUGCUCGGUGACGGCACGCCCGUGGCGGUGAAGCGCGCCACCCGCGCCUCGCAGCAGGGGAUGCCGGAGUUCCAGACGGAGAUCGUGGUGCUGUCCGGCAUCCGGCACCCGCACCUGGUGUCGCUCAUCGGGUACUGCAGCGAGCAGGCGGAGAUGAUCCUGGUGUACGAGUACAUGGAGAAGGGCACGCUGCGGAGCCACCUGUACGGCUCCGACGCGCCGGCGCUGUCGUGGAGGCAGCGGCUGGAGAUCUGCAUCGGCGCCGCGAGGGGCCUGCACUACCUGCACCGAGGAUACGCGGAGAACAUCAUCCACCGCGACGUCAAGUCGACCAACAUCCUCCUCGGGUGCGAAAACGACGGCGGCACCGGCGGCGUGAUCGUGGCCAAGGUGGCCGACUUCGGGCUGUCGCGUGUGGGGCCGGUGUUCGGGGAGACGCACGUGAGCACGGCGGUGAAGGGCAGCUUCGGGUACCUGGACCCGGGCUACUUCAAGACGCAGCAGCUGACGGACCGGUCGGACGUCUACUCCUUCGGCGUGGUGCUGCUGGAGGUGCUCUGCGCGCGGCCGGUGAUCGACCAGAGCCUGGAGCACGGCCAGAUCAACAUCGCCGAGUGGGCGGUGAGGAUGCGCCGGGAAGGAGGGCUCGACAGGAUCGCCGACCCACGGAUCGCCGGCGAGGCGGACGAGGAGUCGCUGCGCAAGUUCGCCGAGACCGCGGAGAAGUGCCUGGCAGACUGCUGGGUGGACCGGCCGUCCAUGGGCGACGUGCUGUGGAACCUGGAGUACUGCCUGCAGCUGCACGAGGCGAACGUCGCCGGGGACGAACUCGGCAACAGCGUCGCCGUCGCCCCGCAGCUCCCGAGGGUCGUGAGCGUGAGCUUGUUGACGGACGACGUGGACGAGACUUGCUUGAGCAUGCCCGAGGUCGACGAGAGCAAGGUGAUCUCGCAGCUGAGCGCCCGCGGCGAGGGGGACGAUGAUCUGAAGUUGGUGCACCAAUUGUAGAUUUUUCCUUUGGCGUUCUCCUCUGCAUCUGAACCCCAUUUGAAUGAUGCUGCAAGCUUCAGAAAAAUAGAACACCCUCUCCAAUUUCAUUUGUCUGACAUCAGCGUUCAGCACAGUGACAUUCACCGAAGCGAGAAAAGAACUUGAAAAAAAGGAUUGGCAG
rnacentral:rRNA from 1 species